rnacentral:rRNA from 1 species
GGACUACUGGGGUAUCUAAUCCCGUUCGCUCCCCUGGCCUUCGCCGCUCAGCGUCAGGCACCUCCCAGGACACUGCCUUCGCCUUUGGUGUUCCUCCGGAUCUCUACGCAUUUCACCGCUCCACCCGGACUUCCAUGUCCCUCUGAGGCCCUCUCAGUCCGACCGUUUUGCGACUCCUGCGGCAGUUAAGCCACCGCCUGUCAGCCGCAACGCCUCGCACCGCCUACCGGCCCUUUACGCCCAGUAACUCCGGACAACGCUCGCCCCCUACGUCUUACCGCGGCGGCUGGCAC